GACUGCAUAGCUCAGUUGGCAGAGCAUUGGGCUAGUAUUCCAAAGGUCGUAGGUUCGAUUCCCACCGUGGCCG